CCUAGAUGGAUUUUUAUUCAUUCAAUCAAUUACAACAAGCUACAAAACGUUAGAUAAGUUGUGCCCAUAAUCUGUUAGAUAUGAAUAACAUUUUGCUGUUGCAGGAAAAGGACAGUUCUAUAUGAGUUUUAUAACAGUUAGCUUUAGUAUUGAACAUGCAAUGUUUAUCUAGUAUUAUCAGUUUUAUUAAACACGGACGAGCAACUAGUCAUCUGUUCUAUUGCCAGAGGUAAGCAUAUAUUACAAAAAUGUUUGAUUUAAUUACAAGCUAUAAUUGCUAACAGUAUGACACAUGGCUAGAUGUAAAAUAUUUUUUAUAGGUUUAAUUUGUUGUUAGAAUACAAAUCAUGUGAUAUUUAUUAUUUCAUUUUUUAACCGAGAUGUGAGUUGUAGCUUCGAGUUCUUAAUCUUAUUGCUUGAUUCGUACAAAUAAAUUUCAAACAGUGUUUACCAAUUUUAUUAUAGUAUAUACCCAGUAGGUAUGUAAUAAAGUUGAAAGUAAAAUGAGUAGUUAUAAAGCUUGCUGAAUCUGUCAUAUUAUAUGUGUAAAGAAAGCGUAUUUAUCCUCUGGUUUGUUUAGUGGUAUUAUAUCAUGCUGACAUGUUAUUCCGAACUAUCUCCCUCAUAUAUAUAUUUAUCAUAUAUGUUAUAACUUUUAGUUCAUAAUAAAUCAUAUAACUAUAUUUCAGUUUGUAAACAAAAAAUAAUUUCAUUUUUGUAUGAAGAAGGCCUUAAAAAAAAUGUCACACAAACAAUGCCAACUCACCUUGUACAAUUCUAAUUUAAAUUCUUUGAAUAUCAAUAAAAACAUAAACUUGCGACAUAUAUCCGGAUCCAUAGGUGGAAUAAUUGUGUUACAGACAGUGCUUAUAUCACUAUUUACAGCAUUCUUAAGUCACCUAGAUUAAUACAUUUUUAGUGCAUUGUUUCGGAAAUUUGUCAACUAUUAUUAUGAUACAAUCUUAAGCUUAUUAAAGUACAGAUCAUGCAUGUGUCCACGCUCCGCUUGGAAGAAUCUGACCGCGCUCCGUUAUACUUUCAGGCAAUAUUUGAUAAGUAUUUGAAAGAUUAGUUGGUGUUCUCUGUCUUUGUUUUUACAAUAUACAUGUUACUUUCCAAAUUAUCGGCCGAUUUUUUUAUUGGAUGAUUUAACAAUUACCAGAACGGAUAUGUUGAUAGAUCGUUGUAAGCCAAACAUGAACAAGUCAUCUGUGUUUUAGCCACAGUAUAUGUAUUUAUGAUUAAAGGCGAAUCUUAACGAUAUAAUACAGGGACAGAAUGCUUUUGAACAGAGCUGGUUUUUAGUAGUUUGUGCCUUCAAUGACAGACAAAUGCAAAUUAUCCUCACCAAAUCAUAUACUAUGAUCUACCAUUUUUAACUGGAGAUCGUUUAAGUAUCUGACAUUUUCCCAGUCAUAAGUUUUGAUUUGCACAACUUGAAAUACAUUUCUACAUUCAUGAACAGUAAUAAACUAGAUGUGUUGCUUGGUAUAAAAGAAAAUCAGCAAGUUUGGGUUGCUGUGUUCUUUGGGUUUGUUCUAGUUUGGAAAUAUAUUUACUGGUUUCGGUAUUUGUUAAGUCUUUUCCCGAAAAGUUGUCUAUAUACUGUUAAUAUACGUCUCGAUAUGUUACAACUUCCCGGUCGAUUUUGUCUAUCGAAAAGCUAUAAUUUAUACAGGGCUCAAAUCCACAAUUAAAUAAACCUCUUCUGAAAUUUAUCCCAACUAUGUUAGAACUCCAUUUACAUGGGUAAAUAUUUUUUCUUCCAUCAAAAGAUUUCUUUUAGGUAUAUAUUGUGUCAUUGAAUUUUAUAACACAUCCACUAUCUUAAAGGAGCUACGAGAUAUGUAAAAAAUCUAAAUUAUGAUCUCGUUUGUUAAAUCAUUGGUGAAGGUGAAAAAGUGAAAUAAUCAUGAUCUUUAAAAGUGAAAAAAGGUAAAUCAUUUAAUUAACUGAUACAUCCACAAAAAAUCAAUCUUAUAAAACGAUGAUUUACAUAUAUGUUUAAUAUGAAAUUAAACAGACCUAGAAAGAUAUGAUUUCACGAGUUCGCUUAAUUUAUUUAUAUCUAUAAUUUUGUUAUAUCGCUUAUAUGACCAUAGGAGGUCUUCGGAUGUAAUCUCGAUUUUUGAUUGGAUGGCGUCUAGACUGAAAUACACAUAAUACGAAACUAUAUAUUAUCGAGCCUAUGCUCUGUUAACGGUUUAUUUUAGACUUUGUAUAGUUGGGAUUUAUGUUUUCCAUUGUUAUAAAUCAAAUAUGAGAAUUUGAGUCAAAUCGGUGAAGAUAAUUUUGAAAGCUAGUGCCCCCUUAAGGUGGUACCCAACACUUUCACUAAAAUUAAUUUGGCUCGUUUAAUUUUCAUAAAAUUUUGACAAAGUAUUUACUUUGACUAAUUGACAAAAAUAUAAAAAUUUUAAAAAUUGUGAACCAACCAAUUUAUCAGAAAAUUUUCAUUGGUUACAUAGUAGUUUGACAAACACUAAUUUUGAUCAUUGAGAAGCUUAAUAUUUCCUUAAAAACACUACGUAAUUAAAAUGUUUAGCUGAUUUUGUAGAGUUAUCUCCCUGUAGUGCUAGGUACCACCUUAAAUACCUUUUCAAACGGUAAUUGCAAUCGUUUACAUCUUUUAAUUUUGGUGGAAUAUGUAUCUCCCACAUUUUGCUCCAUAAAAUAGAAAUAUCAAGAAUAGUACCUAAAUAGAUCCUAAACACUUUAUACACCGUAGGUAAAAUAUACCGAACCAAGUGGUGCCUUUAAUACAGCUAAAGUACAAUUUAAGAAUUUGGCAAUUAUUGAUAUGAUCGGGAAUGUUUUUUUAAUUAUAAGAAACAAGUUUACUAAUGAAGGCAUUAGAAAAUGUGGUAAAUUUGAAUAACAUCAUAAUAGUACGGUUACUGCACAAGGAUAUAUAGUUUUUAAUCGUUUAUGAAAGAGGAACGAAAGAUACCAGGGGGACAAUCAAACUCGUAAAUCGAAAAUAAACUGACAACGCCAUGGCUAAAAAUGAUAAAGACAAACAUACAAACAAUAGUACACAUGACACAACAUUAAAAACAAAAGAAUAAGCAACACGAACCACACCAAAAACUUGGGGUGAUCCGGAAGGGUAAGCAGAUCCUGCUCCACAUCUGGCAAGAGGUUUUAUGUUACUUUAAGAAUUUGACCUCAUUUUACGAUUUAACAUAAUGAAUACAGAUUCCAAAAACAUAAAUACAAUUACCACUCACUUUGUUUCAGAAACUUUUAAGAUUAAGAAAGUAUGCUGAAUGUUAAUUAGGUUACAGUGUAUUUAGUCUGAAUAUUUAAGUCUGUUAGAUAAGAAAUACCUUGCAUACGAUGUUGUUGUCUUUGAAAUGAUAUAUUGAAAACAUAUGGACCAUUAACUUCCGCGAAAGAGUAAAAAAGAAGAACAAGCUGAUGUGCAUUAGUAAAUAUUUUCAAAGAUAAGUUUUACUUAUAAGAGACAAUCUUUAAGAGGCUUUAUCUCUGCCAAUAUACACUGAGAAAAUGUAGGAUUUAUUUCUCCAUACAGUUUUAAACUUUUAACUUGAAAAAAACAAUUUAAACGGUAUUGAUGAAUAAAGCAAACUUGAUAAUUACAGAUUCUGAAGCUAAUUCCAGCAUAGUUAAUUGAUUAUACGGUCACAACAAAAUUCUUCUGAGUUUAACACUAACACUAACUAAAGUUAAAUCACAUUAAGGAGUUUUGUUUAUAAAGUGACAAUUCAGUUAUUGUUAAGAAGAUUUUAUCAACACAACUGUGUUUUCAUAAACCCAUGAGGACAUUAGUUGUAUGGGUUAUUUACUAACACAUAUCUUUGACAGUAGAUGCAAAAAGGAACAGUCCCAAGUUAUAAGUCCAAGAAAAACAGAUACCGCCAUAGAACAAACAAACGAACAAAGAUGAAUAGAUAAAAAAAGUCCAGAACAUUACACAUUACACAGUGCACCGGAAGGUCGGGCAUAUACUGCUCCCAUUGUGUAGCUCGUUAUGUGGCGUACUUAGCAUUGCUAAAGCUAUUUGCAUAUACAUGUAGAUGAUAACAGUAUUGAUGAAAAACAAAACGAACCUAACAGGCAAGUACACACAAUAAAAUGAAAGUCAAUAUAAUGACACCUACUGUAGACUGUAGACUGUCGUCAUUUAAAAGACAGGGACGAUACGAUAUAACAAAUUUCAUAGAUUUAUGCAAACAGAUGUAGAUGUUAAUGAUUAUUUUUCUGAGAUAAUUUUCAAAUUCCAAACGAAUAAAUCAAAUAAUGUUUUGUACAUGAUUUCAUGUCAGACGUGUAGGUGACAUACUUACAGAAACAGUUGCUACUGGAUAUCAAACAUAGUAUACGUGGUAAAUAUAAUUCUCCAAAAUGGCAAUAGUAGGGGAAAAGUGAUACAAAUAAAAGGAGUUAUGAUAAGUGAUAUAUGAUGCGUCAAAAUAUAGAAAUAAAGCG
rnacentral:lncRNA from 1 species